AACACAUUCCUUAGAUCCGCUGUUGGGGCCUUUACAGGCUCAACCUCCUUACCGGAGGUAUAUCGGCAGUGAAUGAGUCAUUGAUGUGUGAAAUAAUUAUACCUCCAAUGCUAGAACAUUGCCUGUGCCUGUUAACUUGACUUGUCAAGUGAGUUCAGGGCCAGGAUGUAUUCUGGUGCUGGGGACAAU
rfam:Daphnia pulex DAPPTscaffold_35_Cont2026, whole genome shotgun sequence.